CACCCACCUACCUACCUCUACCAACCACCACUCCAUAUCCUGACUGACAUGACCUGUGAUCCAGUGAUUGACAGGAGAGGAAAGACAGGCCAACUUUGUUAGCUGUUCGUUAGGAUAUGCUCGAGAGGACAAAAGAUUUUGCACCUCGUUAUUGUUGGACCUCUGUGUGGAAACUGCAAACGGGACGUCAUAAGGGAAUAAUUUUAUGUCUGCAAGCCGCUGGAUGAUCAGUUUGGAGGGCAAGAUAUUUUAUGAGCCUGAGCAGAUGCACGACUUUGGCAGCACCCUUGCUGUCUUCUUUGCGUCAUACUACGUUUUCAACCUUGAGUAUCAGGAGUCAGCGUCCAUCACACUGGAGAUGAUACAGAGGUUCUUUGUGAGGAUCCAGACAUGGGAACAAAAUGCCCUGCAAAACUUGGUACAAGCCGCAAGACAGGUCGUGUCGUAAAGAGGAAGGUUACAAGCAUCAGCCCUCGGAUCACCACCUUCCUCCAGCGGCUCUCUGGAGGACUUCCAACUAGGUGGUGAUGAAGACUACGCUGACUACCAUCCUGGUAACGGAAAUCUAAAUCCCAUGUCACUUUCUAUUUCCUGAGACCCACUGAUAAUUAUUACAUUUUGUAAAUGAUUUUUGUUUUACAAUUGUAAUAGUUUAUUUAAUGUUCAUGCUGGUGGGUUUGUCCUGUUUUUAGUGGAA
ensembl:lncRNA